rnacentral:tRNA from 1 species
GGGGGCAUAGCUCAGUUGGUUAGAGCGCAUGUUUCACAUACAUGAGGUCACAGGUUCGAGUCCUGUUGUCCCCACCA